AUGAAGGGCUUUAUAGUCUGGCUGUGGCCUGGCGACGCCCUUCCGAACAGCUACUUCGGCCUGGUGAGGCGGCUGGUGGACGCCUGCCCAUGGCUGGAGGUCAUCAAGCGGUCUAUCUGCAUCGAAGGUGCAUGCCGGGCUUUCGCCCGCGUGAAGGUGCAAUGGGCCAAGCUAGACGCCAUGAAGCUGAUCAAGGAGGGACCGCCGCAGGGCAAGGAGCAUCGCACCCCUGAAAUUUAUUAUGAGGGUGUCCUGAAGGGUGCCCGUCUUGUAGCGGAUGAAUGUUCAAAGGAUGUAAUAUUUGAGUAA
rnacentral:rRNA from 1 species